CCGGCUCUCCUGGGAUGAAGAUGAUAUCCGUCCUACCUCUGGCGUCACGCCCUGCUGGGGGACGGCAAACUUGCAGUCUGUUCAAGAAAGUCGUGUCCGGAAGCAUAGGAAGGGAGCUUUUGACCCAACCUGAGACUCUGGCAGUGGAGUUUUCGGAUAGACUAUUCGGGUCAAAACCGGGACUUGCAGAGAGAGGAUGAAUGAAAGGAAAAUUAUAAAUAGACGGUGUCUAUUUAUAUAGCAUCAUGUAAGUUGUCAUUUUAAAAGUUACAUUUUACGGUUUAAUCUUGUUUUCGUUUCUAAUCACAAAUGGACGGGAGCACCUAAGUUCUUAAUAGGAUCUACAUGUAUGGAUGUGAGAGUUGGACUGUGAAGAAGGCUGAGCGCCGAAGAAUUGAUGCUUUUGAACUGUGGUGUUGGAGAAGACUCUUGAGAGUCCCUUGGACUGCAAGGAGAUCCAACCAGUCCAUUCUGAAGGAGAUCAGCCCUGGGUGUUCUUUGGAAGGAAUGAUGCUGAAGCUGAAACUCCAGUACUUUGGCCACCUCAUGCGAAGAGUUGAUUCAUUGGAAAAGACUGAUGCUGGGAGGGAUUGGGGGCAGGAGGAGAAGGGGACGACAGAGGAUGAGAUCGCUGGAUGGCAUCACGGACUCGAUGGACUCAACCAUGGAACUGAAAAUGCAGAAUUUUAAAUUCUCAUAGAAGACUUGGGGACCCUGAGGAUAUGCCAAAGGAGUGUGUUCAGAAGAAAAGAAUCCGUGUGGCAGCACAUCUGGAAAUCAACUCCUGGGAAGAAGGAAUGAAUGAAGUCAUUGGCCAGGAGCAGAGCAGACUGAAGGAAGCUGGGGAGCCAUCUACAAGGAGCAAAGACUUUUUCCCUGUUGCUCCCUAAGACCAAUUAAGAGGCACCACAGCAUCAGAUUUCUGAUUUCAACUCAAUAUGUGAAAUACUUUUUAACCUCUAGAGCUGUUUACUAAUGGAAUAAUCUACCUUAAUAGAAUAAGUAUUCCCCUAUGAAAACACACAGAGAGAAGUUGAUUGUAGAAGGGAUUCCAGAACUUGGAAGGGAAUUGGAGGAGAGCUGUAUCUGGGUUCUAAGACUUCUUGACCCCAACAUUCCCUGUCUUUCUAAUGCUUGAAACGUCCAUAGGAAAGGCCAAAAUGGCCAGAAAGUAUAAUGUUUCCAAAGUAAAUAAUUAUUCAGUAUAAACUUGACUUGAUAUUCAUGAGUGCGAUAUCCUCACAGGAGGCUGAAAUCUAAGAAGUUUGCUGAGUGACCCACACAAAUAUCAGAGAGGAAAGUGUUAUCUAAGAUUGUAAUGACAAGAGCCAGAAAUCAGCAGGUACACUGGGACCUAAACUCGAGUCCUUAAUCUUGUUUGCAUAUUAUAUUAGGAGAAUACCCCAGUAAAUCCAAAUCAAAUUAUACAAUGUUACACUGUUAGUUACUAAAAAUUAAUGACGGCAAUUUGUUUCUCUUCUUAGACUUUGGUUUUCAGUUUUUCUCCUACGAUUUCCCUUUUGUUCAUUCAAACUUGUGAACAAUGCCUUAAGAAGCUGUGGAGAAGUAGACAAUUCUGCUUUGGGGUUGGGAUGGCCAUUUGGCCAUAGUUAUCAAAAUGUGAAGGGAACAUACCCUUUGACCCAGCAAUUCCACUUGUAGGAAUGAAUUUCCCUCCAUAUAAGAAAGCACCGCAGUAAAGAGUAUGUGCGGGGCUUCCCUGGUGGCCCAGUGGUUAAGAAUCUGCUUUGCAGUGCACGGGAAAUGCUGGUUUGAUCUUCGGUCCCUUUGAUCCUUGGUCCUGGAAGAUCCCACAUGCCUUGGAGCAGCUAAGCCCAUGCUCCACAAUAAGAGAAGUCACCGCAAUGAGAGGCCCAUGCACCCCAGCUAGAAAGUGGCUGCUGGUCGCCACAGCUGGAGCAAGCCAGCACUCAACAAUGAAGACCCAGUGCAGCCAAAAAUCAAUAAAUAAUCAUUUAAAUUUUUUAAAAAGAAUAUGUGCAGCAAAACAUUAAAAAUGCCCUGACUGUCUAUCAAUAAGGGACUGUUUCAUGAGGAAUGACACAUGCUAUAUCAAGGGUAGAAGAUCUUUAUGUACUGACUUGGAAAGUGCUCCAAGAUACACUGUUGUAUGACAAAAGCAAGGUAGUAAACUUUGUGCUUUAAAAAAAAAGCAUCUAGGGACUUCCUUGGAGGUUCAGUGAUUAAGACUCAAUGCUUUGACUGCAGUGGGUGUGGGUUUGAUCACUGAUUGGGGAACUGAGGAUCCCACAUGCUGCAGGGCAUGGCCAAAAAAAAAAAAAAAAGCUCAGAAAAAGGACAUCUAUAGACAGAAAUACACGAUGUGCCAGGCAGCUUCUAAGAUGAUCCUCAAUGCUCUCCAACCCUUGGUGUGGAUUCAACCUAGUGUGGGUUCAACCUAGUGUCUUUUUUCUAACAGAAUAUAGCAAGGGUGUCGAUUCUGAGAUUUGGUUGUAGAAAAAAACUUUGGUUUCCUUCUUGUCCUUCUUGAGUUUUCUAGCUCUCGUCACCUAUUUGCAUGGAUGAAAUCAGUUGCCAUGCUCGGAGGAGCCCAGUGGAGAGGCCCAUGGGGUAAGAAGCUCAGGGAGGCCUCAAGCAAAAGACCAAUGCAGAAAUGAGGCCAUCAGCCUAACAGCCUGUGAGGAACUAAAUCCUGCCAGCAAGGCCUUGAGGGAACUUGACAGCAGAUAGUCUGGAUCGGAGCUAUGAGGUGACUGCAUUCUCAGCUGACAGCUUGAUGACAUCUUUGUAACAGACCCUGAGCCUGGAGGGCCCGACGAGGCCACUGGGACUCUUGAUCACAGGAAAUAUAUGAUAAUAAAUGUUUGUUGUUUUAAGUCACUAUGUUUUGGGGUAACGUUACACAGCUGCUGCUGCUGCUGCUGUUGCUGCUGCUAAGUCGCUUCAGUUGUGUCCGACUCUGUGCGACCCCAUAGAUGGCAGCCCACCAGGCUCCCCCAUCCCUGGGAUUCCCAGGCAAGAACGCUGGAGUGGGUUGCCAUUUCUUCUCCAAUGCAUGAAAGUGAAAAGUGAAAGUGAAGUCGAUCAGUCGUGCCUGACUCUUAGUGACCCCAUGGACUGCAGCCCACCAGGCUCCUCCGCCCAUGGGAUUGCCCACACAGCAGUAGAUAGCUGAUACCAAAUGCAUGUUUGUUUAUGCACGUAUUUCUUUUUUAAAAACUAAAUAAAAGUAUCUAUUUUUGUUUGAUUUUUAAAAUUUAUUUUUAAUUGGAAGAUAAUUGUUUUAUAUCGUGUUGGUUUCUGCCAUACAUCAACAUGAGUCUGUCAUAGGCAUACAUAUGUUCCCUCGCUCCUGAACCUCUCUCCCACCUCCUGCCCUGUCCCAACCUUCUAGGUUUUCACAGAGCACUGGAUUUGAGCUCCCUGCAACAUACAGCAAAUUCCCACUGGCUAUCUAAUUUUACAUAUGGUAAUGUGUAUUUUUUAAACCCUGGCCACUGUGCUUGCCACCAGGGAAAGAAGUUUAAGAUUCUAGGGUGGAAGGAAACUUACUUUUUAAUAUAGACUCUUUAGUUUUAUCUCAGUUGUUUAUUCAACAAAGAGGCAAAUAAUAACAUGUUUAAUAUUCUCCAAU
ensembl:lncRNA